GACGAACGCUGGCGGCGUGCUUAACACAUGCAAGUCGAACGGACAGGCCCUGCUCUUGCGGCGCUCUCGUUUGCCGCACGGGGGUGAAACACGUGAGUAUCCUCUCCUUGUCUUUCGGGUAUAUCCAGGAAACUCCGGCUCUUAUCCGGUAUGAUAUCUUGCUCCACGGUGGUCAAUGGUAAGUUUCGGCGGUUGGGGAUGGAAUCGCUGCUUAUCCGCUUGUUGGUGAGGUAGUGGCGUACAAGGGCUUCGACGGGUAGCCCGCCUGAGAGGGUGACCAGCCUCAAUGGGACUGCGAUACGGCCCAGACUCCUACGGGAGGCAGCAGGCGAGAAUAUUGCAGAAUGGGCGGAAGCCUGUGGCAGCAGCGCCGCGUGCGGGAUGACGGCCUUCGAGUGGUAAACCGCUUUCGCCUGUGACGAAGCGUGAGUGACGGUAAUGGGUAAAGAAGCACCGGCUAACUACGUG
rnacentral:rRNA from 1 species